rnacentral:rRNA from 1 species
GACGAACGCUGGCGGCGGGCUUAACACAUGCAAGUCGAACGGAAAGGCCCUGCUUUUGUGGGGUGCUAGAGUGGCGAACGGGUGAGUAACACGUGAGUAACCUGCCCUUGACUUUAGGAUAACUUCAGGAAACUGGGGCUAAUACCGGAUAGGAGCUCCUGCUGCAUGGUGGGGGUUGGACCGUUUCGGCGGUUGGGGAUGGACGCGCGGCUUAUCAGCUUGUUGGUGGGGUAGUGGCUUACCAAGGCUUUGACGGGUAGCCGGCCUGAGAGGGUGGCCGGCCACAAUGGGACUGAGAUACGGCCCAGACUCCUACGGGAGGCAGCAGUGGGGAAUAUUGCCCAAUGGGCGGAAGCCUGAUGCAGAAACGCAGCGUGCGGGAUGACGGCCUUCGGGUUGUAAACCGCUUUCGCCUGUGACGAAGCGUGAGUGACGGUAAUGGGUAAAGAAGCACCGGCUAACUACGUG